UGGCGGCGAGCGGCGGACGGGUGAGUAAUGCAUCGGAACGUACCUAGUCGUGGGGGAUAACUAUCCGAAAGGAUGGCUAAUACCGCAUACGUCCUGAGGGAGAAAGCAGGGGAUCGCAAGACCUUGCGCGAUUAGAGCGGCCGAUGUCGGAUUAGCUAGUUGGUGGGGUAAAGGCCUACCAAGGCAAUGAUCCGUAGCUGGUCUGAGAGGAUGAUCAGCCACACUGGGACUGAGACACGGGCCACGCUCCUACGGGAGGCAGCAGUGGGGAAUAUUGGACAAUGGGUGAAAGCCUGAUCCAGCGACACCGCGUGGAGGAUGAAGGUCUUCGGAUUGUAAACUCCUUUCAGGGAUGAUGAAGUUCUGAUAAAGUCAGAAUUGACAGUAAUCCCAGAAGAAGUCACGGCUAGCUACGUGCCAGCAGCCGCGGUAAUACGUAGGUGGCUAGCGUUACUCGGAAUUACUAGGUGUAAAGCGCGGGUAGGUGGUUUUGUAAGUUGGAAGUGAAAGCUCCAAUAAAAUUGGAGAGGUCUUUCAAAACUGCUUAACUUGAGUAUAGCAAGGGGAACCGGAAUUCCCGGUGUAGCGGUGAAAUGCGUAAAUAUCGGGAGGAACACCGAUGGCGAAAGCGGGUUCCUGGGCUAUUACUGACACUGAGCCGCGAAGACGUGGGGAGCAAACAGGAUUAGAUACCCUGGUAGUCCACGUAGUAAACGAUGGAAACUAGAUAUGGGAGGUAUCGACCCCUUCCGUGUCGCAGCUAACGCAUUAAGUUUCCCACCUGGGAAGUACGGCCGCAAGGCUGAAACUCAAAAGAAUUGACGGGGGCCCGCACAAGCGGUGGAGCAUGUGGUUUAAUUCGACGCAACGCGAAAAACCUUACCCGGGCUUGAAGUGCCGGUGGUACCCUGACGAAAGUCUUGGGGACCCGCAAGGGAGCCGGUAGAGGUGCUGCAUGGUUGUCGUCAGCUCGUGUCGU
rnacentral:rRNA from 1 species